rnacentral:lncRNA from 1 species
GGAGGAGUUGCAGCCGCUUGCCUCCACGUUGCAUCACUGCCGCUCGUCUUUGUUCUGCAUCUUAAAGACGUGGAGAGAAGAGAGUCAGACGGAUCCUCAGGCUCCGAAGAGGGCCGGCGGCCUGACGGAGGCGCCCGGCCCGGGAGACGGGAGGCGCCCGGCCCGGGAGACGGGAGGCGCCACCCGACUGGCCGUUUCCCGGCCGCUUCCUGGCCGUUUCCCAGCCGUUUCCCAGCCGCUUCCUGGUCACUUCCCAGCCGUUUCCCGGCCAGUUCCUGGCCGUUUCCCAGCCGUUUCCCGGCCACUUCCUGGCCGUUUCCCAGCCGUUUCCCGGCCGCUUCCUGGUCGUUUCCCAGCCGCUUCCUGGCCAUUUCCCGGCUGUUUCCCGGCCGCUUCCCGGCCGUUUCCUGGCCGUUUCCCGGCCGCUUCCCGGUCGCUUCCCAGCCGUUUCCCAGCCGUUUCCCGGCCGCUUCCUGGUCGCUUCCCAGCCGUUUCCCGGCUGUUUCCGGGCCGUUUCCCGGCCGUUUCCCAGCCGUUUCCCAGCCGCUUCCUGGUCGUUUCCUGGUCGCUUCCCAGUCGCUUCCCAGCCGUUUCCCAGCCGUUUCCCAGCCGUUUCCCGGCCGUUUCCCGGCCGUUUCCUGGCCGUUUCCCGGCCGUUUCCUGGCCGUUUCCCGGCCGUUUCCCGGCCGUUUCCUGGCCGUUUCCCGGCCGUUUCCUGGCCGUUUCCCGGCCGUUUCCUGGUCGCUUCCCAGCCGUUUCCCAGCUGUUUCCCGGCCGUUUCCCAGCCGUUUCCCGGCCGUUUCCUGGCCGUUUCCCGGCCGUUUCCUGGCCGUUUCCUGGCCGUUUCCCGGCCGUUUCCUGGUCGCUUCCCAGCCGUUUCCCAGCUGUUUCCUGGCCGUUUCCCGGCUGUUUCCUGGCCGUUUCCCGGCCGUUUCCUGGUCGCUUCCCAGCCGUUUCCCAGCUGUUUCCUGGCCGUUUCCCGGCCGUUUCCUGGUCGCUUCCCAGCCGUUUCCCAGCUGUUUCCCAGCCGUUUCCCGGCCGCUUCCCGGUCGCUUCCCAGCCGUUUCCCAGCCGUUUCCCGGCUGCUUCCUGGUCGCUUCCCAGCCGUUUCCCAGCCGUUUCCCAGCCGUUUCCCAGCCGUUUCCCAGCCGUUUCCCUGCCGUUUCCCGGCCGUUUCCCUGCCGCCGCCCGG